GUUACCAUUUUCUUAAAUUCUCUGCACAUAAAAUAGAUUGAUAAAUAAAUAAAAAAAUCAAGAAAAUAAUAAGAAGGACAUAUAAAAUAUUAUAAAAUAUUGGGAUAUUACAUUGUUAACACCUUAUAAUAGUUUCAUCCGCAAAACUAGAAAUUCGAAAAGAUAUUUAAGAUAGAGUUCCGUUUCUAAAUAAAAUUAUAGGGUAAAGGAAUCACUUUCUAAAAGAUAAAGUUAAAGUAUUUUGACACAUAAAUAAAAUAGUUAUUUAUAUAUUAAAAUAAAAUUCUUGGGUCUUACAUUCAACCCACAAAUAAUUUAGAUUCCUCCCCGAAGUUAGACAAUAAAAAAAGAUUUUAGGUAGAUUUUUCAAAAGCUCUUUAUGUAAUUUUAAUAAUGAAUUAAAAAGUCAUGUUUCUGCUGUGCACUUUAAUGUCAAGAUACAUCAUUCAAAUUGAACAAUUCUCAUAAAAAUUAUUUUCAAAAUGCAACAUUAGAAGAAGAAUAGAGAGUCUUUUUAACAUAUAUAAUAAUACAUAAAAAUAAAGCACCUAUAAAAUAAUGUGGUAGAAACAGUAAGUCAGUAACAAUGUUUUUGUCUUUUCAAGCAACAGAAAAAAAAAUUGUGACAGGCUCCAGAAAACAAAAUACGUACAUGAAACUGGAUUUAUUUAUUAAGCUAAUUUUAUUAAUUAAUAACCAUGCAGUUAUGUUGUUGUUUACUAUAUAUAUCCUCUCUGAGCGAAGAAAGAUAAAAUUACUUGCAUAAUAUAAUACUACAUAAUACAAAUUUUGAAAUAAAUUAUUAAGUGCACAAACAUUAUGAUAUCACAUAAAAUUAUAUUAUAAAAGGCUCAAUUUAAUUAAUUAACUCACAAAAAUUUUCUUUGCAUAACCAAGCAUAACGGUUUCCUGAUGGUGGACAAUCCCCUAUAUAUUUACAGGGGAUAUUAGCUGCAUUGUCAAAUAGAAGAAAGGAACGUCACUAACAAAUUUUAUACUAUUGUGUAUAAGAUAAAUUUGAAAAUGGUAUAAAAAAUGACAUACUUUUCUUAUAAGCAAAGGAUUCAACAAGAAAUGUAAAAAAAAAGAUGAUCAAAGUAUAAAUAAACAUGUCGAUUUUAGUUGUACUUUUCUUAUUUUGUAUUUC
rnacentral:lncRNA from 1 species